rnacentral:rRNA from 1 species
GAUGAACGCUGGCGGCGUGCCUAAUACAUGCAAGUCGAGCGAAUGGAUUAAGAGCUUGCUCUUAUGAAGUUAGCGGCGGACGGGUGAGUAACACGUGGGUAACCUGCCCAUAAGACUGGGAUAACUCCGGGAAACCGGGGCUAAUACCGGAUAACAUUUGGAACCGCAUGGUUCUAAAGUGAAAGAUGGUUUUGCUAUCACUUAUAGAUGGACCCGCGCCGUAUUAGCUAGUUGGUAAGGUAACGGCUUACCAAGGCGACGAUACGUAGCCGACCUGAGAGGGUGAUCGGCCACACUGGAACUGAGACACGGUCCAGACUCCUACGGGAGGCAGCAGUAGGGAAUCUUCCGCAAUGGGCGAAAGCCUGACGGAGCAACGCCGCGUGAGUGAUGAAGGGUUUCGGCUCGUAAAACUCUGUUAUUAGGGAAGAACAAAUGUGUAAGUAACUGUGCACGUCUUGACGGUACCUAAUCAGAAAGCCACGGCUAACUACGUGCCAGCCGCCGCGGUAA